GGAAUGAUGCCAUCCUCACCUACUGAGGCCAGGUUCCGGAAGGUCUCCAGCAUCACAUCUCUGUAGAGGUCCCUCUGAGCAGAAUCCAGCAAAGCCCACUCCUCCAGGGUGAAGUCCACAGCCACAUCCUCAAAGACCACUGAGUCCUAAGACAAACCACACAGGUGUGCAGGAGGAUUGGAGACACUGAAAGUACUGGGGAACUGGACUCAAUUCAUAAAUUCAAACAAGAUUCUGUGGUGUCCCAACACCUCCUCUAUGACGCGAAUGUUAGAUCUUUUACUUAUUCACAAUCACUUCCUAGUAAACUUCAUGGCACCACUAUCAGUCUGAACUUAUCUCUGCCUUUUUACUGCGACUGCUCUUAUUUUCCUCUACCAGGAGGGUCUAGAGAAAUGCUAUGCAAAUGAAGUAACUUUUCCAUUUGAAACGUUGCAUAACGCAGCAGGCCUCGGUUGUCCAAACGAUGCACAUUUCAUAGGACUUUCGGAAAAGCCUUCCACCAGCUACUGCAGAAAAUGGAUUCUGUGACUGUAAAAACCAAUGGCCGGGCGCAGUGGCUCACACCUGUCAUCCCAGCACUUUGGGAGGCCGAGGAGGGCGGAUCACGAGGUCAGGAGGUCGAGAUCAUCCUAGCUAUCUCUACUAAAAAUGCAAAAAAUUAGCCGGGCGUGGUGACGGGUGCCUGUAGUCCCAGCUACUGGGGAG
rnacentral:lncRNA from 1 species